rnacentral:rRNA from 1 species
UACGUAGGGGGCAAGCGUUGUCCGGAAUUACUGGGCGUAAAGCGCGUGUAGGCGGCCCGAAAAGUCGGAUGUGAAAGCCCUGGGCUUAACCUAGGAAGUGCAUUCGAAACUGUCGUGGCUUGAGUUCUGGAGAGGAAGGCGGAAUUCUCGGUGUAGAGGUGAAAUUCGUAGAUAUCGAGAGGAACACCGGUGGCGAAGGCGGCCUUCUGGACAGUGACUGACGCUGAGACGCGAAAGCGUGGGGAGCAAACAGG